rnacentral:lncRNA from 1 species
GUAUUGGUUGAAGCUCUUUUCGUAUUCCCAUUUCUUGCAAAUCGUAACGAGAAUUUACAUGAUCUUUUUACUUUCCAUCUAUCUCCAAUAAUGUCCCAAGAAUACUAUCACAAAUAUUCUUCUCAAUAUGCAUCGGAUCAAGAUUGUGCCUCAAUUUGUUAGUUUUUCAAUAUGGUAAUUCAAAGAAGAUGGAUCUUUUUUUCCAUGGUGUCACGAUCCCGGUUCGCCCUCCGUGAACCAUCGUGACAGCACCUAGUCUCUACGACUAGGUAAGCCUAAUUUGCGGAAGAAAAACCAAAAUUUUGCGGAAGUAAACAAUUUAAAACAUAAAUAAAAUAGCAAUAGUGUUUAAAUGUGCCGCUCGGCUUACACCAUGUUUAACUCUCAAUACCAAACAUAAAUCCAAGACCCGAAAACCCAUGAAUCACAAGCUAAGAAAAAGAAAUACUACAUAGCUCUAACUCCGGAAUUUGUCUAAUAAGAACAGAAAGUACAGAAGGGCUAAAUACUAAAAGGCAGGAAUAGAAAGGGACUCCUCGGUCUGCGAAUGCGGCAGAUGUACCUCGAAGUCUCUAAGUAGUCGCCUCCAUCAAGGAUGGUAGACCUAAGUAGAAGUACCUGGAUCUGCACAUGAAAAACAUGCACAGAAGAGGCAUGAGUACACCACAGCAGUACUCAGUAAGUGCCAAGCCUAACCUCGGUUGGGUAGUGACGAGGAAGGUCAGGGCCCUACUGAGGUUAAAUACAAUAUAAGGGUUAAUAGUGUGGAAUAAAAUAGUAUAAAUAAGUGCAACAAUAAGAAAUAACAUAGAAUUGACAGAACAACAACAACUAGAACAGAGACAAAACAAACCACGGAAAGAAAUACAGCUCAACACAGAGACGACAAUCGGGGCACCUUCCAGGAUAUCGUCCUAUAGUCCCAAUUACCACUGUCUAGUGGAUCUCCCGGGAUACCAUCUCGUAGUCCAUCAUAUAUAUGUCCGAAGGAUCUCCCGGGAUCCCGUCCCAUAGUCCAACUAUCAAUGCGCGGGGAUGUACCGAAAUUCCGAUCCGUAGUCCUAAAUGUAAAUACCCAGUACUAGGGGAAUCUACCGGGUGCAUUCCCGUAGUUCCAUAUAACUGUGCAGUGGAAUCCACCGGGAAUCUAACCUGUAGUCCCAAAGUAAAUGUGCAGGGGGAUCUACCGGGAAUCUAACCCGUAGUCCCAAAGUAAACAGACAAGGGAGAGCUACCGGAAUCCUAUAUUCGUAGUCCCAAAAUAAAUACACACAGCAGCUGGAAGAUAAACAGAAAUGACAAAAUUUCAUAUUAAGGAAAUAAGUGAUUCUAGCCUAGCAUGCUGCACAAAAUUCAAGUAAGGUAGGUUGAAUCAAAUAAAGCAAUUAAGUCACUUAGACACGCUUUCCUAAGCUAACAACAUGCUUAAUAGUGCAAGAAAUAGAAACAGGAAAGGAAACAUACUAGCAUUUACUUAAGGAAAAUCGGAUUUCCAACAAUUAGAACAAGUACGCACUCGUCACCUCACGUACAAGGAAUUUCAAUUACCAAAUAUACCAAUCCUAAGGGGAAGGUACCCCACACAAGGUUAGACAAGCCACUUACCUCGAACCAACUCAAAAUCAACCCAACACCACGUCUUUACCACGAGUACUCGACUGCAAACGGCCCAAAUCUAUUCAAUUCAAUUGCAUAAUAUAAAUAACACUUCAAGUAACUGAUUCUACAAUUAAAUUCUAAGCUAAUACGCGUAAUUAUGUAAAAUGACCAAAAUGCCCCUCGGGCCCACAUCUAGGAAUCGGGUAAAAUUCACAUUUUCAGUAUCCUCAUACCCUCACGAGUCUAACUAUACCAAAAUUAUCCAAUUCCGAUAUCAUUUGGUCCUUCAAAUCAUCAUUUUACAUUUUUGAAAGAUUUCACAAGUUUUUUUCCCAAAUUCCAUCCCAAAUCACGAAUUAAAUGAUGAAUUCAAUGGUGGAUUCAUAUACUCUAGCCAAAUCUGAGUUAGAAUCACUUACCCCGAUGAAUUUCUUGAAAACCCUUCGAAAAAUCGCCAAAAUCCGAGCUCUCUAGGUCAAAAUAUGAAACAAAACCCAAAACCUCGUAUUUAUAGGGCACCCCCCGGAUUUCCACCACUGCGGACCGCACAAAAACAAGUGUUGUUCGCACAAAACAAGUGUUGUCCGCACAGGUUUUGACUGCAGUAAUAGGCUUUAGUAUUUUAGCCAUAACUUUCUCUACAAAUGUCCAAAUUGUGAUUUCGUUACCUUUCUGGAAACUAGGCACAAAGGGCUACAACGUUCGUUUUUGAAUCAUUCCAAAAUUCCUUGUAGAUCAAAAGAUAUAAGCUUCUGAGGUAGGACCAGUGAAAUUUUCCUCACCGCGGACCGCACUACAUUUUGUGCGGCCGCACAGCCCCCACCGCCGACGCACUGGACUUUGUGCGGACCGCACUGGUGGGUUCCGAGGCCUGUAACUCUUCUGGACCUGCAACAACUAUGAUUUUUGGCCUAAAACAUCCCGGAACCUACCCGGAACUCACCCGAGUCCUCGGGGCUUCAAACCAAUUGUACCAACAUGUCCCAUGACAUCGUUCAAACUUGUUGAAAACUUCGGAAUGCUCACAACAACAUCAAUUCACCAAUUUAACAUAGGAUUCAAGCCUAAGAACUCCAAGAACUCUUAACUUAUGCUUUCGAUCAAAAGGUCUAUCAAAUCUCAUCCGAAUGACCUAAAAUUUUUCAAGCACGUCACAUUCAACACUAUGGAGCUACUCCAAUUUUCGGAAUUCCAUUCCGACCCUUAGAUCAAAAUCUCACUAUCGGACCAGAAACUUCAAAAAUUCGACUCUCGCCAUUUCAAGCCUAAAUUAGAUAUGAACCUCCAAAACACAAUCUGAUCACGCCCCUAAGCCCGAAAUCACCCAACGGAGCUAACGAAACCGUCAGAUUUCCAUUCCGAGGCCGUCUUUACACUAUUCCGACUACAGUCAACUUUCCAACACUUAAGCUCUCAUUUUGGGACUAAGUAUCCCAAAACUCUCCGAAACUCAAAACCGAACAUCCCGGCAAAUCAAAAUAGCAGAAAUAAACUCUGGAAAGUAAUUAAUAGGGGAUCGGGGCGUUAAUUCUUAAGACGACCGGUCAGGUCAUCACACAUGGACCCUUGUUAACCCGAGACCUUUUCUUUUGGCCCUUUCCAAAGACACUCUUGAAUUCGCGCAACUCUUCGAGCACUUCUGUAGCCGACAAAGGAGUGGGUACAAGUCUAUGAUCCUCCUUACCAUCAAAUGAUUUCUUAUCUCUUCGAAAUGGAUGUUCAGAAGGCAAAAAUGCCCGAUGACCCAUGUAGCACAUCUUACGACUAUGCUUGAGAUAUUGAGAGCAUGUGCCAUUGUUACAAGUGGGGCAUGCAAAUUUUCCCUUUGUACUCCAACCAGAAAGCAUUGAUAGUGCAGGAAAAUCAUUAAUUAUCCGCAUUAAGGCUGCACGCAUUUGGAACAUCUGGUUAGAUUCGGCAUCAAAUGUUUCUACACUGAAUUCCCAUAGCUCUUUUAAUUCAGCAAUUAGUGGUUGUAGAUACACAUCUAUAUCAUAUCCCGGAGAUGAAGGACCUGGGAUGAUCAUUGACAACAUUAUAUACUCUGGCUUCAUGCAAAUCCAAGGCGAUAGAUUAUAGUUCAUUAACAUAACAUGCCACAUGCUAUAGGAAAUACUCAUUGUUCGAAACGGGUUGAAACCAUCACUUGAAAGACCCAAUCUAAUAUUACAAGGGUCGCUAGAGAAUUUAGGGUGCAAGGAGUCGAACUUCUUCUAAGCAUCACCAUCAGCAUGAUGUCUUAUAUUUCUAUCAUUCGGUCGUUCAGUGGCAUGCCAUCUCAUAGCUGCAGCUAUUUCGGGACACAUGAAUAUCCUCUGAAGGCGAGGCUUUAAUGGAAAGUACCUUAAAACCUUUGCGGGGGUUUUGGUCUUUUUAUUAGUCAAUACAUUAAGAACAUUCUUCCAUCUAGAAGACCCACACACAGAACAAGUAUCUGCAUUUAUAUUGUCGUUCCAAAAUAACAUGCAAUCAUUAGGACAUGCAUGUAUUUUUUCCUAAUGAAGACCCAAAUCUUUUAUCAUGCUUGUUGCCUUGUAGAAGGACUCGGGUAGCUGAGCAAAUGGAAAUUCCUCUUUUAACAACUCCAACAAGUCUGUGAAUGCCACAUUACUCAACCCGUGAAUGCACUUUAACAAGUACAACCGGAUCGUAAAACCCAAUUUGGAAAAAUUCUCACACCCUGGAUAUAAUUCUUCUUUUCCUUCUUCUACUAAUUUAAAGAAUCUUUUUGCAUCUUCGGAAGGUCCAUCCCUCACUUUUUCAUGUCCCAAAUCAUCCUCGACAUUUUGAAAUGUAUCAUGAAGUAAUCCUUCAAUAUCAUCAUGCAUCUCAGAACCUUCAUCAUUAUUGCUUGGGCAUGGAGUCUUUCUCCAGGAAAAUCCUUCCCCGUGGAAAACCCAUUUGGUGUAUCCAUGAACAAAGACAUUAACAAUCAAGUGAUCCUCCACCAUAUUCCUAUAAUGCCAAAAACAAUUAGCGCACUCUUUACAAGGGCAUAAUAUUUCAUUUCCCUGGGAAGCUCGUUCAAACGCCUUAUCAAGAAAAUUACUCACUCCUUGUAUGUACUCAUCAGUUGACCUUCGGAGGCUCAUCCACCUUUUAUCUCCGUUAUCCAUUAAAUUAGUUUUAUCUUAUAUAACACCAAAACAACUAGUAUAAAUUUAGUUUAUAUACUAAUAAUCGAAAAAAUCAGCUAAUAAGAAAGAAUAGAAAAAAGCCACAUAUUCUCAAAAUUAUAUGAGUUUCAUUGUUGUGAAAUUUAACAAUCACCAAAAUCAUCACAUAAACAGCUACGUAAGGCAAAUUUCAUCAAUAACAAAUAUUUAACAAAUAGUGGCUAUUAGAUUUAACAAGAACAAUGAAUUUUUUUUAAGUUAAUGACGUGCCACAAUCUUAUUAGUGUGUACCAUAAAAAAUAACGCAAAUACUUGAAAAUUAAGAUUAGCAGAAGAAUGUUAGAAGAUCAGCAUUAUAUGAUUCUGAUAUACAGUGAAAGAAAAGGCAACAAUGAUUCAGUUUCACUUAUAACUAGCAACAUGUAUUCCGAAGUUGAACCUUCUUAUGAUAUUCAGAGGAAGGGCAGUAUAACAUUCUGUUAAAACUGGGGAGCAUAAAUAAUAAAAGAAGAACUAGACAACAUUUCAGUAAAUAGGAGAAGACUUAGAAAGAAGAACCGAGGGUAAAAAAAAUCGCUAGCAUUUCACUGCUAUUUGGACGUUGAAACAAUGAAGAAGAAGAAGAAGAAGGAAGACAUCAUCACAUACCUGUUGCCGCUGAAUCUCUGUUGAAGUUGAAAAGGGAACCCUAGUCGUUGUUGUUACUGGUCGUGUUUUAAUAGAAGUACACUGAUCCCUUCUUUUUUAAUUAAAUAGGCUGGCAGCUUUACUCGCUUCUCUUCGCCGCUUCUGCCUUUUUAGUGGGAAGCGCACACUUUUGUCUAUCUGAGUCACUUCAUAUAGCAGAAUUUGCUUCUCGCUUUUCACAACCCAGGCAUAAACACACACACAUCAUACUCUCAGCAGUCGAUUUUUGCAGGAAUACACACACAUCAUACUUUCAGCAAAAACUGCAACCACUAUCUGCCAAUAGUAUAAGUAGUAUGAUCAUACUUCAAAUUAGAAAUUUAUGCUUUUUGAUGUUGAACAGAAUAUGUAGACGAGAAUCGACUAUGUCUCAAAAGAACAUAAAUGACAUGUCCAGACCUGUGAGAGGCCAAAAGGUUCCUGUCUACCUUUCUCAAACUGUUUAUUUUUCAUAUAGAAGAGUUGUAUGCUGAGCUAACUGGACCCUUAUCAAGUGUAUGAAAUAUAAUUUAGUUUAACGUGCUUUAUGUUUGGAGUCUGGACUCAGUACUUCCUGCUUGUGCAACACGACUAAAAUAUAAUACCUUCAACUUAUGGACUAAAGUGAACUAUGAACUCAUCAUUUUUGCUUAAUGUGCUGACUGAAAUAAGCAACAGGGAUAAACAGUACUUGAGGAUACAUUUUAAAUGGUAUCAUUUCACUGGACGAAUUUUUUUCACGUUCUUAAUCCGAGUUUGUGAGAUGCUUUUUGUGAAUAAUAUCUACGCAGGCUACAUACUUUUAAUUUUCAGUGACUGGUCGAGAGUGAGACAAGUAUUUAUGCAUAAUCUAGAAUAAGUCCCUUUUGACCAAAUCACUAAAAUUAAAAAUUAUACUCAUGCAACAGGUUGUUGGCUAGGACAGUAUUGAAGAUGAAGAUCAGGGGUCCUAAAUUACACAAUUUAUUCAAGGAUACAAAGAUGGAAAUUUAUAAAGAAACUUAUUAGCUCUGCUUCUUUCAUGGGAUUCGUGAACUCAAUGAUCAGAACUUCAGAGAAGUUACUACAAUUGAACAAAGAGGUAUUAGAAGAGAACUUCAGAGAACCUGUUAUCAACCAGAUGUCCUGUGCUUUCCGGUAAUUCAGGUUAUGGACAGAUAUAGUCUGGACAUAUCUUUCGGAUGGAUUGGUCCUGCAGAUUUCAUGGAAAAAGUGUGAAAUGUUAGUAUAAAUAACGAUUCGUCAAAUGAAAAAAAAAUUAACUACAAGAAUAAUGACAAAUGAAAACUUAUAGACAUAUUUACCACAUAUACAUAUACACAUGCUCAUUAUCUAAAUGAACGAACAGUUAACGAAUAAGACAUGAAUACUCAAAAGAAAUAUGAGCUUAGAUUUCCCAGCAAGUAAAGUUGAAUUGGCAGGUAUUGACAAAGAUCUAAACUGCUGUCGCAAGUAAACAUCCAUGGUUCUAACUGAUGGUAAUACCUGUUGAUAUCAAACGAGAUACAAAUGACACUUAAUGCAAAUGAGAGAAUGGCCAUUGAACAUUAAAGGAAACAAGGAAAGGUGAGAUAGCAGAUGUGGACUCUGUGAUACACAAGUCAUGAGCUAAAACAUUGUUUUCCAGUAUAGAAACAGCUUCUGCAAGAACUAAUUAUCCCAAAUUUUCCACAUCUCAAAUACUGUGAUUGUAGUUUCUUAACCGAAGUGUCUGUCUUCAAGCUCACUAUGGCUAUGUAUUAACUGAAUAAGACUGCUUCCAGUAGUUAUCGAGAUUCAUAGUUUUCUUGAUAGAAAAGAAAAAUAUUGACUUAGUUGAAUUUAUAUAGCUGACUGAAAAUUGGCCUAGCCCAAGCACAUGAUUUUCACCAGGUAGUGAAAUGUUAGAUACGUACUUCUAGUUCUACGAAACACAACACUCCACAACACUCCCUAUAAAUUACUAAGAGUUUGUGCCUCAUUUAAGCAGUCACAGCUUGAAACUAAUCAAGAAAUUAUCUUACAAAAAUUAAAUGAAAAUAACCAAUUCUUAACUUAAAAUGGGGAGUAAAAGUAUACAUGAACUUCCUCUCUUAGCAUAGAAAAGAUUAGCAAAGGAGCAUAUUCAAUUAAUUGAUCAUCAAAUGAUGUUAGUGAAUUUUCAUUGUGCAAUCCUCAUAGGUAACAUCAAAUUUUCCUAUGUUAGACAAGCUUCAGGCAUAAUAACAAGUAACAACUAGUUUUACAGGUUCAAUCAUAUUUUGUUACAGGAUUUUUCAAGGCCAUUCAAUCGUUGCCGAAAAAAGGAAGAAAAGAUGCAAGAUAAGUAGUAGCAAGUGAAAUACAAACUAGCCCUAGACCCUAUAUGCUGAAAAGUUAAAAGCAUAUAGACGCGUAACUAUUUGGUUCGAACCCACGACACUUCUGAAUAAGUUUAGGCGCUACACCAUCAAAGUUGCGCCUUCCUUUGUGACAAGUAAUGUCAUUUUAAUAUAUUUAGUUCGUUUCUUGUAUACUAAUCAAAUAUAUAUAGGUAAAUUUUCCGACGAAGUGGUGUCGGAUGACACCGCUUAAGCUAUGGUGGCUCCGCCCCUGCUUCCGGCUGCAUUCCAUCCAAAACUAGUUUUACAGGUUCAAUCAUAUUGCUACAGGAUUUUCCAUGGCCAUUCCUUUCCAAUUCUGAUGCCUUCAUGAAUGGCAUUUGUUCACAAAAUUUACUCCAUGCAUUCCCACAUAUAAUACAGAAUAACCAUUUUCAGAAUAACGAACAAGACAUCGAACAUCGAACAUCGAGAGCAAACAUCAAAUCUCAUGGUUUCUAACACAAAAUCAAAACCUAACAAAUAAAUCCCCCAAUUUCGCAAACUAAAAAUCACAAAAUAUAUCUCAUAAUACAAACAAAACAGAAGCAAAAUAAUGGGUUUAUCAGAAAUAUUAUCAAAGAAAGAAAAUAGAAGGAGCAAUGAAAUAAUUUUUCAAACUAGGGAAGAAGAAAGCAAAAUCGAACAGUAACAACAAACAUCGAACAGGUAAAAACCCGAAAUGUUAGCCGAUAAUGGUCGUCCUUCACCGGAGCUGAUCGACAGAGUUCGUCGGUGGGUUCUAGGUUGAUGAACAGAAAGAGAGGUCUUUGAGAUUUUGGGGUAAUCGCUAUUGAGAGUGAAGUCGAUGUCUUGUAGGUUGGUUUUGUGUUUUAGAGUUAUUAAAAUAUUAGUGGGGUCCAUUAUUUUUAACCGCCCCAAUAGCUUUUUAUUUC